AUUGAACGCUGGCGGCAGGCCUAACACAUGCAAGUCGAGCGGAUGAAUGGAGCUUGCUCCUGGAUUCAUCGGCGGACGGGUGAGUAAUGCCUAUGAAUCUGCCUGGUAGUGGGGGAUAACGUCCGGAAACGGGCGCUAAUACCGCAUACGUCCUGAGGGAGAAAGUGGGGGAUCUUCGGACCUCACGCUAUCAGAUGAGCCUAGGUGGGAUUAGCUAGUUGGUGGGGUAAAGGCCUACAAAGGCGACGAUCCGUAACUGGUCUGAGAGGAUGAUCAGUCACACUGGAACUGAGACACGGUCCAGACUCCUACGGGAGGAAGCAGUGGGGAAUAUUGGACAAUGGGCGAAAGCCUGAUCCAGCCAUGCCGCGUGUGUGAAGAAGGUCUUCGGAUUGUAAAGCAAUUUAAGUUGGGAGGAAGGGCAGUAAGUUAAUACCUUGCUGUUUUGACGUUACCAACAGAAUAAGCACCGGCUAACUUCGUG
rnacentral:rRNA from 1 species